rnacentral:rRNA from 1 species
GAUGAACGCUGGCGGCGUGCCUAAUACAUGCAAGUCGAGCGAACAGACGAGGAGCUUGCUCCUCUGACGUUAGCGGCGGACGGGUGAGUAACACGUGGAUAACCUACCUAUAAGACUGGGAUAACUUCGGGAAACCGGAGCUAAUACCGGAUAAUAUAUUGAACCGCAUGGUUCAAUAGUGAAAGACGGUUUUGCUGUCACUUAUAGAUGGAUCCGCGCCGCAUUAGCUAGUUGGUAAGGUAACGGCGUACCAAGGCAACGAUGCGUAGCCGACCUGAGAGGGUGAUCGGCCACACUGGAACUGAGACACGGUCCAGACUCCUACGGGAGGCAGCAGUAGGGAAUCUUCCGCAAUGGGCGAAAGCCUGACGGAGCAACGCCGCGUGAGUGAUGAAGGUCUUCGGAUCGUAAAACUCUGUUAUUAGGGAAGAACAAAUGUGUAAGUAACUAUGCACGGCUUGACGGUACCUAAUCAGAAAGCCACGGCUAACUACGUG